AGGAACGCAAAAAAUCACAUUUCGUGCCCAGUAUUUGAGAAACAGAGAACCCAACCAGUAUGAAAGUGCAAGUAUGGACAAUUAAGGCCUGCUCAAACAGGCGUGGUGCGGUACAGCGCGGUAUAGCAAGAACAUUGUUGCCAGAUGACGAGCUCAAAUUAACGGCACGCUUUUAGCAGCACUUCUCGAUGAAGAAAACAGAAGAAAAAGAAUACACGAAAUAAAUUUGAGAAGAAAAGAAGAUGGUGAAUUUUCCAGCCUGAUGCCCCAACUGCGUGACCACGAAGAGAGAUUUCUUAAAUAUUUCCAUAUUUACGCUCCAUUUUGUACGUUUUGAGAAAGAAUAAACUCCACUAAAAUUCCCGUUCAUA